rnacentral:rRNA from 1 species
GAUGAACGCUGGCGGCGUGCCUAAUACAUGCAAGUCGAGCGAACAGACGAGGAGCUUGCUCCUCUGACGUUAGCGGCGGACGGGUGAGUAACACGUGGAUAACCUACCUAUAAGACUGGGAUAACUUCGGGAAACCGGAGCUAAUACCGGAGAAUAUAUUGAACCGCAUGGUUCAAUAGUGAAAGACGGUUUUGCUGUCACUUAUAGAUGGAUCCGCGCCGCAUUAGCUAGUUGGUAAGGUAACGGCUUACCAAGGCAACGAUGCGUAGCCGACCUGAGAGGCUGAUCGGCCACCCUGGAACUGAGACACGGUCCAGGCUCCUACGGGAGGCAGCAGUAGGGAAUCUUCCGCAAUGGGCGAAAGCUUGACGGAGCAACGCCGCGUGAGUGAUGACGGUCUUCGGAUCGUAAAACUCUGUUAUUAGGUAAGAACAAAUGUGUAAGUAACUAUGCACGUCUUGACGGUACCUAAUCAGAAAGCCCCGGCUAACUACGUG